rnacentral:rRNA from 1 species
CAGUCGAACGAUGAAGCCCCUUCGGGGGUGGAUUAGUGGCGAACGGGUGAGUAACACGUGGGCAAUCUGCCCUGCACUCUGGGACAAGCCCUGGAAACGGGGUCUAAUACCGGAUACGACCAUCUGAGGCAUGUCAUGUGGGUGGAAAGCUCCGGCGGUGCAGGAUGAGCCCGCGGCCUAUCAGCUUGUUGGUGAGGUAACGGCUCACCAAGGCGACGACGGGUAGCCGGCCUGAGAGGGCGACCGGCCAAACUGGGACUGAGACACGGCCCAGACUAAUACGGGAGGCAGCAGUGGGGAAUAUUGCACAAUGGGCGCAAGCCUGAUGCAGCGACGCCGCGUGAGGGAUGACGGCCUUCGGGUUGUAAACCUCUUUCAGCAGGGAAGAAGCGCAAGUGACGGUACCUGCAGAAGAAGCGCCGGCUAACUACGUGCCAGCAGCCGCGGUAAUUCA